CAGGUUACAGAAGUGUUAAAAGAAUUUUAUGUGCUAGAGCUCAGUUAGUUUUGGGCAGUGUAAUGAAGUAGAACAGUGUGCUCAAAGAAAUGUGGUGAUGAAUCUAUCACUGCUCUAACUUGUCCAAAAUCCCUGCCAAAGUAGCCACAUUCUCUUUGAUGAGUCUGUUUAACACUCUCCCUAUUAAGAUUUUCACACUAUAAGUAAGUUUGGUGUAGUUUAAAUAAUGUAAGAAAAUGCUGAACAAGCUUAAAAGUAGUGUAGUUUUGAUUCAUCUCUCAUUGUUACCACGAAGAAAUGAACGUACAAAAUUAUUAGCAUUAAAAUAUACAGAAUCAGAGACAGAGAAACAGAGACAGAGAAAAGAAAUGGGGGGUUCUUUGCUAUGUAAGGCUGUGGAGUUGAAAAGUGGAUUGAGAGAGACUGAGUGAUAAUUUGAAGACAUUUGGGCAGCCUAUUAACCUGAAGCAUUUAAUGGUUAAAUACUGCAAUCGCAUCAUAACCUGAACAUAGUUUAUGAUCAAGAAGUCCAUGAGCUCUGCCAGAAAUUUCAUCAGUUACUGCUAAGGAAAUUUCUUCUUUGAUAAAUUAAGCCAUCAUGAAAAUCAUCACCAAAAUAACUUCCCCAUGAAAAGUAGUGCAUACUUUAGAGUAAAAUGAUGGCCCCUCCAACCCCAAAUUUAAUUUGGAGGAAAACAGUUAAGAAGUCUCCAGUAUGUUUCAAAGUCAUUAUAUCCUAUGAAGAGCAGGAGAUAGACAUCCAAAGUCCAAACACAAUCUUACAACCUGUUUGUAUGCCGUGAGCACAUGAUCUCUUUGGGUCUCUGGGGUUUGUUGUUGUUGUUGUUGUUGUUGUUAAAUGGAGAUAACAAUAUUUUCUUCCCCAAAUUGUUUGAACACAGAUGUUCAAACACUGGUGAUUCUGAUUGUAGCAGUUGUAAUAUUUAUUAUUAUUUGUGUUAUAUUAUUAAGAGUAAAUUUUUCUUCCUCUGAUGUAUAUUUCUCUGUUUGUUGCACAUUCUUCUCUGCAAUAUUGCCAACAUGAAAACUCUUUCCUGAGAGAAUAUUACUUGGUUGAUAUAGAGCCCAGAUCACCAUAUGCAAUGGAGAAAUGUAACGUAAUGAUGGCAGUUAAUGAACACCAAUAUGUGUCUAUUAUGGUCUGUAAUAUCGAGAUACGUUGACAACUUUUAAGGAGAAAAAAAAAACUGGGCAGUAAAUUUUUAAUGGAAUAAGAAUCUCUCCAGGUUGAAAAAAAUAAGAUUCAAGUCAAACAACAAAUUUAAUCUUAUUUAUGUUUAUUUCUUCUGAUUCUAUUACAAAUUUAUAAGGUAUUGUGAUAAUGCUAAGAAAGUUAUCUUGCAUUUUGAGAUGUAUAUACACUCAAAAAUUGAAGAUGCGAUGAACAAAUAGGUCAUAUAUCAUAUCAAAUAAUUGUAAAAAUAAAAAUGUCAAAUGUGUUUGACAAAUAUAAAUUAAAAAUCAUGUAAAUAAUGUGUUCUAUACAUGUGUGCACAUGCAUAUGUAUUUUUAUAUAAAAACAUAUGAUAUAAUAUACAUAUAAAAUGCCCAAAUAUAACUAUGAUUAUAUCUCUCUGAAAAGUUACUUGAAAGAGCACUUUUAAAGGUUCCUAUAAAUGAUGCCAGGAUUAAAUCUUCAAGAAAAUUAGAGAAAUUUGAAUACUCUGUCUUUGCCAAGAGUUCACUUUAUUUUUACUAUGAUAUAAUAUAUUUUCAUUUUAUGUGCUAGAAGUUACUGAAGAUCAUUUGAUUUUAUAUGCAGAGUGCCCAUAUUUAUCAUUCCUGUCCUUUUUCUGACAUUAUUUAUUAAGUAAACUUAACUUCACUUAUCAUUGAUUCACAUGGGCUACACUUGAGUUUACAAGUGUACACUGGAUGUGUAUAAGUAUUCAAAGUUAAAUUCUUUCAGGAACUGAAUAUGACACUUCAAACUUAAGUGAUCCUGUCUCUUCCUCUUCAUUGUCUAAAACCAUGUAUGCAAUAUCAGCCAUUUACCAAAGGAUUUAUUUUCCCUCCUCUAUGGAAAGCAGACCCAAUUCACAUUUCUAAUCUCUUCUCUUAGAAGAUGUUGAGUGCUUCAGUCAAAAUGUAGAAGCCUAAAUAUCAAUUCUCAUAUGUUUUAGCCUUUAUAUUUUAGCUAACUAUAGCAUCUUCAUGUCAAAGCCUAAUUUAGCAACACAUUUUAGAGACUGAUCCAUAAUAAAUAAAUAAUGAAUGAGUGAAUGACUAGGCAAACCAUCUACAAUCAGACAGUAAGUUUGGGGAAACUAGGGCUAAAUUGUUUUUAAUCAACAAUUCUUAGAAACUAGCCACAGAAUUAAAAAUAAUAAUAAUUUCCAAAUGAUUAACAUUUGACUAGAAACCUGUUUUGGAUUUUCCUUGUUAUCUCAGAUUUAAAUAUGGGUGUAUCUGUAUUUUCUCUGCUUUAAAUCUGCGUUCUGUUGGAGAGUUAUUAAAUAUUCAGGAAAUGGUCAUUUUCGAUGGCAUUAUUUGUUUUCCUUUUGUUAAAUUUCUGAAAGUAAACUAUUUAUUAUAAGAUGAUGAGCUCACAAAGCAGGGAAAACUAAGAGGAUAUCUUAGAAUUAUGUUUACACACUCAUUGACUUAAUAAAACACAUUAACACAUUUAAACACCAAUUAGCCAAAAUUCUAACACUGAUUUUUUAAAGUGCCUUUGUGUCUUCAUCUAAUGUAAUACACUUACUUAAAGAAACAUUUUUUUAGAAUAUAUACUAUUUAGAAUGCACAGUUUUCUCAGUAUAAAACCUACACCAUAUAAAAUGACAUAAUCAAAUUCUAAUAUAAAUGUUUUAAAAUCAAGUACUCAUCUUUAAACACUUAUUAAUACUUAUAUGGAAAAAAAAACAAGUGAAUCUUAUUUCUAUUAUGAAAUGAGUUAUAAAGUGAAACCCUCAAAGUAAAGUGCAAAUGUUUAAUAUGUUGAGAAGAGGGGAAGUAAAAUCUUUUUACACAGAAAAGAGCUGAGGAGUUCCCUCAUGGCUCAGCAUUUAACGAAACUGACUAGGAUCUAUGAGGAGGUGGGUUUGAUGCCUGGCCUCGCUCAUUGGGUUAGGGAUCCAGCACCACAGCUCACGGCAAUGCUAGAUCCUUAACCCACUGAGCCAGGCCAGGGACCGAACCCGAAACCUCAUGGUUCUAGUCGGAUUCAUUAACUACUGUGCCACGACGGGAUCAGGAGCACAAUAUUUUAGGCUUACUAGUUGCAUAAGUCAUGGUUAAUUUGUCUGCCUGAUUGAUACCUUGUUUGGCUGCUUGUCUUGAAUUUAACAUAAAGUUGCUAAUUCUUGUUUCGUGAAUAAAUGAAGAUCUCAUCCAAAAGGAUGGAUCUGAUAACUUAUUAAAGUUGUUCUUAGUGAUUCUCUCUUGUUCAAUGUUCUGAUCCUUUUCAGAUAUUUAUCCAGAACUAGGGAUUCCCAGAAAAGAUUUGUCCAGUAUCACAGAGAGUGAAAUGUUUACUGACUGAAAAAGGUAUUGAUUACUGAGGCAAGAUAGCUAAUGAAUGUGUCUAGCUUCUGAACUGCAAAGUUAGCUGUAGUCUUUGGAGUCUACUGAAUGAUAAUUGUAGCAAGCAUAACAAGUGUGAAUAUAUGUGUAUCUGUGUAUGUAUAUAUAUAUAUAUAUAUAUAUAUAUACAUAGCUCUCAAAAUGCUUUUAAAGUUUUUAAAGUUUUUAUAUAAACUAGAAAUACUCUUAUGUAAUACAUUUGGACAAUUUACUAUUUCAGGAAGUACCCUUGUGGUGCAGCAGGUUAAGGAUCCAGUAUUGCUGCAACUGUGGUGCAGGCCACAACUGUGGCACGGUUUUGAUCCCUGACCUGGGAGCUUCCACAUGC
rnacentral:lncRNA from 1 species